CCAAAAAAGGACCUGGCAGCAAGUACAAGAACAUUUUGCAGGCUGGUAAGUGACUUGAUGUGUGAAAAAAAAAAAAAAAAAAUUUGGUGAAUAGUGUCUGCUGCCAUAUUUUAUUGUCUGUGUUGAUUUUACCAUUGAAAAAAAAGGCUCAUAUAUCUGGCACGGGGGUGGCCCUCCAACCCAAGACUUGACCACAGCAGAGGAGCUGGCCCUGGAGUUGAAUAAAGGGAAGCCAGUGAUGGAAGGGACACAGUGAGGGAUAGCCACUGACUCUGGCCCAGCAAGAGAGACUGGCCUCUUCAUACAAGGCUUGGCACGUCCUGUCAAAACUAUCAAGUUCUAUUGAAUAUGGCAGAGGGAAGGCACAUCUGCCGAUGAUGAGAUCGUGUCACUGGACUCCAGAAGGCUUGAGAAAGCAACUCAUACAGGUUUGGAUAGAACUUCAAAAGAAGAAUCAGAUGAUCCAGAACAUAUAAAGGUAUUUUGUUGUUUACUAAAAAUAAUUAUAA